rnacentral:rRNA from 1 species
AUGAACGCUGGCGGCGUGCCUAAUACAUGCAAGUCGCGCGAACAGACGAGGAGCUUGCUCCUCUGACGUUAGCGGCGGACGGGUGAGUAACACGUGGAUAACCUACCUAUAAGACUGGGAUAACUUCGGGAAACCGGAGCUAAUACCGGAUAAUAUAUUGAACCGCCUGGUUCAAUAGUGAAAGACGGUUUUGCUGUCACUUAUAGAUGGAUCCGCGCCGCAUUAGCUAGUUGGUAAGGUAACGGCUUACCAAGGCAACGAUGCGUAGCCGACCUGAGAGGGUGAUCGGCCACACUGGAACUGAGACACGGUCCAGACUCCUACGGGAGGCAGCAGUAGGGAAUCUUCCGCAAUGGGCGAAAGCUUGACGGAGCAACGCCGCGUGAGUGAUGAAGGUCUUCGGAUCGUAAAACUCUGUUAUUAGGGAAGAACAAAUGUGUAAGUAACUAUGCACGUCUUGACGGUACCUAAUCAGAAAGCCACGGCUAACUACGUG